rnacentral:lncRNA from 1 species
UUUUUAACACUAAAUUAGAGUAAUUUUUAUUUAUUUUUGAAUGAGUGAAAAAGUGAAGAUGAGGGAAGGGGAUAAUUUUGGUUGCUAAAAUAAAUUUAUUCUUUAUUGUUCAACACCACAUGUGAAAUAGAAAAAAACUUGCAUUGCAUUAUGUUCAUAGAAAUAUUAAGGACUUAUAUGCUUUCUCAAAAGCCUAAUUUAGCUCUUCUUUUUCUUAAUAACAUGAAAUGUAUUAAUGUUGAAAGGCCACCAAGUAUUCAGAAAUAAUGAGCUCUGAAGCUUCCAAAGUCAUCUAACCAAUACUCAGCUGAGUUUUAAUGAUGAAUAACUAGGCCAAUCUUUUUUUGGUAACAGAGAGCUCGGGCUAAAACUUGGCCAAGCCAGAAGGAAAAUGAAAGAGAAGCUUUGUGAGCCCGUUUACCCUCCCUGUGCACACCAUCCACAAGAUUGCUGUGCUGCUUCCAAGUCUGCUGAGCCAGAUAAUCUCUCUUGUCCAUUUGAAGCUCUUAGCUUCUGGGAAUCUGCCAUGUCAGGUAUUUGGAAAAUAUCUGGAAAAGUUGAGCACUUCUUUGUUAUCAGAAAUAAUUAAUGAUGCAUCUACAUGCUUCCAAACUGUAUGCAUGCUACAAAAGCAAUAAAAAAAUAUAAAUGGGCA